UACGUAGGGUGCAAGCGUUGUCCGGAAUUAUUGGGCGUAAAGAGCUCGUAGGCGGUUUGUUGCGUCGGCUGUGAAAUCCCGAGGCUCAACCUCGGGUCUGCAGUCGAUACGAGCAAACUAGAGUGUUGCAGGGGAGACUGGAAUUCCUGGUGUAGCGGUGAAAUGCGCAGAUAUCAGGAGGGAACACCGGUGGGCGAAGGCGGGUCUCUGGGCCGAAUACUGACGCU
rnacentral:rRNA from 1 species